UACGUAGGGGGCAAGCGUUGUCCGGAAUCAUUGGGCGUAAAGAGCGUGUAGGCGGCCCGGUAAGUCCGCUGUGAAAGUCCAGGGCUCAACCCUGGGAUGCCGGUGGAUACUGUCGGGCUCGAGUCCGGAAGAGGAGAUCGGAAUUCCUGGUGUAGCGGUGAAAUGCGCAGAUAUCAGGAGGAACACCGGUGGCGAAGGCGGAUCUCUGGGCCGAUACUGACGCUGAGGAGCGAAAGCGUGGGGAGCGAACAGG
rnacentral:rRNA from 1 species